ACGCAGUUGUCUGCUGUGAUGAACAAUAGUGUGCUAGGACUGGCUCGCGCUGCGCUGCAUUGCUACAAUGGAGGUCUUUAUGAGACGAAACGUCUGAUCUUGGGAGUUUGCACUGGGGGAAACAUAUCCUUAAUUUCAAUCUUAGAAUAAUGUUUUGCGGGAUUCAGCUAUCAUCAACGUCCUGUUAUACGGGGAAAAGGACUACUUGUGUUUAGACGGCAGGUUAGCGAGCUUAGAAGGCGCGUUUACCCGAGGAUGGUAUUCAUUUUGCCAUGUUUUUUCUGCGACAUGUUUUAACUAAACCGGGCGCCUGGGCAGUGAAGUGGUGAUGUUUGUAAACGUGCUGAUGGGCAAUGAAGAACACCGUCCUCUGCUGGAGAGAGCAAACGUCCAGGAACAGUCCUAGUCUCAUGCGCCGUAAUGGACACAAAUACUGUGGGCAGUGAAUUUUAUUUAUUUUGAUCAGUACCCCACAGCUGUCUGAAACGGGCAUGUUACCACAUUAGUGAUAUUCCUGUAAGUAGUUCAUGUGUUCAUGAACUGACGAGGGCUGGUAGCAUGCUACCUUGUGGACAUCAUUGCAAUUCAAAAAACGUAGGAUUUAUACCAGUAUUAGAAAUACUGCUCUUUAUUGCUGGAUUUCCAAUAAAGAAACUUUGAAAUGAA